rnacentral:sRNA from 1 species
GCUGCUCUGCUUAUGGAGUAGCCAUUCUUUAUUUCUUUACUUUCUUAAUAACUUACUUGCUUUCACUUUACUCUAUGGACUUGCCCCAAAUUCUUUCUUGUGGGAGAUCCAAGAACACUCUCUUGGGGUCUGGAUCAGGACCCCUUUCUUAUAACACCACCACCUGCUUUCUUGGGUCUCCAGCUUGCAGAUGGCAGAUUGUGGGACUUACUUCUUAGCUUUCAUAACUGCAUGACCAAUUUAUCAUAUUAAAUCUUAUUUUCUUUAUAUAUAUCUCCAUCCUACUGGUUUCUCUGGAGAACCCUAAUACAUUUCCCAUCUCUCUGCAGCUAGAAUCAGCCAAAAACAUAUAAGGAGACUCCACCAGGAGUGGGGAGUUCUUGGGAAAGCUUUUGCUUCUGAAAAAAGAUAAAAGUACACAGGAGAGCUGUCUGGUGCCAUUCCUUGAGCAUGUGAGAGACUGUGUCACCGGGAGCAGCAGUUAUCUGUGGCCAUAAGUUGAGAUGACUGGAUGAAAUGCUAACAUGUUGAGAAGACAAUUCAUAGGAGUGAAUGAGACAGAAAGCAAGACCAUGAGGAUGACUAAGAAGAGCAAGUACAACAUGGCUGAGACUAAGUGUCCAGGGAGUUGAGAAUAAGUGGCCUAUUGUCAUGUCCUAUAUAAGUAGAGUAUAU